GGGGUUAAUGACAGUUAGUAUUAUGGUGCAUUCAUGCCAGCUGGGAAUAUCAGGGACCGCCCCCGUGAUUACGUUGUUUUUCAGACUGCCAGCGUUCACAUGAUGCACGUUCUUCUUCU